rnacentral:misc_RNA from 1 species
UGAGGCGCGCCUUUGAUAACACUGUUUAUAGGAAUGUAACAUUUUCAUGUUUGGUUACAGUUUCAAUUUUUCAUUGGAAUGUACAAGUAACGGGUUUGGUUAAGUUACGGAAAAGUAAAGGUCAAGUGAAGUUGAUGACCACAAUAUCCCUACUAUAAAUAUAUUUUAUUUAAAUAAUCUAUGUCCACAUUAUAAAUAUCUAACUACAUAUUAAUGCAAUGAAAUUGUCAUAACUCACAUAAACAUGAAAUAUAAAUAUUAUUCAAAAAGGUGCUUAACAAAUAUAACAAAAUAAUUAAUUGUUUAAUAGAUGGUCUAUGAUAAAAAUUGAAAUUUACAAAAUUCAAAAAAUAAUGUACUUCCAUAUACAGGAAUGUAGGGUGGGGCCUGCAUCUUUGGGAAUUUAACUUUCCCAAUAAUGGAAGAUUUCCAUACAAAUCAAAUACAAGAAUUUAACAAUCCCGAGUCACCUUUUUGAGUGAUUCCAGAAACCAAAUGCCCCGUUAAAGAAGACUGAAGGAAAUGUUUAUCCUAAACCAUUUAGGACUCUGAUAAAGACUCCUAAUUAAAAUAGACUCCUAAAGACAUGCAAAAGCUUUUCCAGCACAACAAAUUAUGAAUUGAACCAUUCUUCGUAAAAUUUUUAGUUUUUAUUUUUUGUUUAAAAGAAUAUCAAAACAUGACUAUUGGGACCAAGUUAAGUUCCCAACUACACUUCUAUCUUCAAAGAGAAGCUAAAUAGAUCCUUUGCCACAUCUAGACCUUUGAUACUUUAAGUUUUAUUUUUCUUUAAAUCUUUCUCUGAGUCACAUUUUAAACAAAUAAAGGUUUGAUAUAUUUGUGAGAAGUUUGCUAUUUUUGAAGGCUCCAGAGGGUUUUCUAAAAUGGAAUUUUGAGCUUUUGGCAGGAGAAGAAAAGGCCGAAAAUUUAAGGUGCCUUGCAAUUUGUGCAAUAAUUUGCAGUAUUUGUUUGGCAUCUUUCAGAAUCUAAAUCUAGCUCUAGUUGCUAUUUAGAUUUUUUUUUUAAUCAUUAUAGCUUUAGCAUAAAGGGAAUUUCGAGGAGUAAUGGUUAGUUGAAAUUCAACAAGAUUGGUGGCCAUUAUUUUAUUCUUGUAUUUUUCUUAGAUUUGAAUUUUUUUUCCUUGAUCAAGGGUGCCUUAUCCUUCAUUUUGUAAUUCUCUUGCUCCUUGAUAAAUUCUUUUUAUCCAACAAUGAAUGAAUGAAUAAAAAUCAAACACCACACCCACUAGCACAAAUCCAAAAUGAGAAAACAUUUCGAUUUAGGUAUUCCUAAUCGAGAAAGAAAAAUGAUUUUGAUUCUUACCUCUAAAGCUCAAAGUCUUUGAUAUGAAAUACCUUUUUGUUGAAUUUUGCAAUUUGUUCUUGUCUUAUCGUAUUGGAUUGGAAUGUCAAAAUAAU